GAGCUCGUCUGGAGCACAACUCGUUUCGGAACGAAAAAUCUAAAAAUUUCGAAAUUAUUGUGUAAUUGCUAAGCUACAAAUUGUACAAGCAAACCAAAAAAAAAAAACUACACAGAAAUCGUACAACAUUUGUGUUUCUAGAGUUUCAUGCUUUUGUUGACUCAAAUACUCGCCAUUGCUUUUUGUAAAGACUUGAAAGCAAUGGCAACGGAUUGCAAAGCAACCGCUUAACACAAAAAACGCCGUCCUGCUGAAUGAGGGGUUUGCUUGAAGUUUAACAUAUUAUACUUAAUCGACUUAUCACUACAUGCUUAUAUAUACUAUCGUGGAAUUGGAGUUUCAUGCUUUUGUUAACUUAAAUACUCGCCAUUGCUUUUUGUAAAGCAGAAAUGGGAAAGAAAUUUUGCAACGCAUCUGGAUAAUUGGUGAUGGGCAUCUCCUUCGGAAUCUGACAAUUCGAUAACGGGAUUACACAUAUUGCAGUCAAAUCGAUGGCACCGGUCCCGUUGGACAGUAGCUUGCAUCGAAUCUAACAUGUUAUACAACACUACUCGACCUAAAACUAUGGUCUUAUAUGGGAUAAUGUGCGUUUAGAAGGGUUAAAAAUAAAAUAUUGUUAAAUUAAAGCGGAAA